GUCUCUGUAGUAUAGUGGUUAGUAUGCUCGCUUGUGGGAAUUCAUCCUACUGUGGGAUAAUCCAAUCGCGAUUGACGCCAGUUCGAUUCCGGCCGGGGACA